GACGAACGCUGGCGGCGUGCUUAACACAUGCAAGUCACGGGGGCGUAGCAAUACGCAACCGGCGAACGGGUGCGUAACACGUGAGCAAUCUGCCGAUCUCUGGGGGAUAGCCGGCCCAACGGCCGGGUAAUACCGCAUACGCUCAUCGGGGGACAUCCCCUGGUGAGGAAACCUCCGGGGGAGAUCGAGGAGCUCGCGACCUAUCAGCUAGUUGGUGAGGUAACGGCUCACCAAGGCGACGACGGGUAGCCGGCCUGAGAGGGUGACCGGCCACAUUGGGACUGAGAUACGGCCCAGACUCCUACGGGAGGCAGCAGUGGGGAAUAUUGCACAAUGGGCGCAAGCCUGAUGCAGCGACGCCGCGUGAGGGAUGACGGCCUUCGGGUUGUAAACCUCUUUCGGCACCGACGAAGCGCAAGUGACGGUAGGUGCAGAAGAAGGACCGGCCAACUACGUGCCAGCAGCCGCCGUAA
rnacentral:rRNA from 1 species